AGCAGCAGCCACGGUAAUACGUAGGGUGCAAGCGUUAAUCGGAAUUACUGGGCGUAAAGCGUGCGCAGGCGGUUAUAUAAGACAGAUGUGAAAUCCCCGGGCUCAACCUGGGAACUGCAUUUGUGACUGUAUAGCUAGAGUACGGCAGAGGGGGAUGGAAUUCCGCGUGUAGCAGUGAAAUGCGUAGAUAUGCGGAGGAACACCGAUGGCGAAGGCAAUCCCCUGGGCCUGUACUGACGCUCAUGCACGAAAGCGUGGGGAGCAAACAGGAUUAGAUACCCCCGUAGUCCCUGUCUCUUAUAA
rnacentral:rRNA from 1 species